GUGGGAGGCAACAGGACAGGCAGGUGAUGAGGAGAUCUGCCAUUUAGAGUGGAUGUGGGAUGCAUGACCAGAUGAUGACCAUGACUCUCUAGCAGUAAGUCUACAACACCUGGAAUGCUGCACAAAGAGGUCAAAGGAAGCCCUGAGGAUUGCCACAUACAAGCAGAGCUCAAAACCACUUCUCUGCCAAAAGUGUGCUCUCCGGGAAUUUUGACUUAUUUGGCUGGAUGCUGCGAGCACCCCUAACUUAAAACAGAUUAAAUUAGGCAAUAUGGAAAGUCUAGACCAUCUUUUCAACUUACGCCCAGAGAAACAAGAACAACGAUGGAGACAUGAAAACCCAGGAGAAAAUUGGGCCAAGUAGACGCUGC
rnacentral:lncRNA from 1 species